rnacentral:sRNA from 1 species
AGUGUUCUUUGGAGUCCGGGGAAGUUUGGCCUUUAAAAAUCAAACUGCCAUGGACACUGCUUUACCCAAAAUUUUGGUUCAUAUUCUUCACUGGAUUAACUAUUGGGGCAAACAACGUAUAACCAUGUAAAACCAGUACGCUUGUAUUGGCAUUUCAUGGCUAGAGUUCUAAGUCACAAGCACCUCUUCGGCAAAGCCCACCUCCCUCUCUCGCUUGAUUCCCCGGCCAUCCUUAUCAAAGACCUUCCAGGUGAACAGGCAGCCAUCCUCAGCAGCAGUCAGCAGGAACUGAUCAUCAAAGAAUCUCGCUCUGUUGCCCAGGCUGGAAUGUAGUGGUGCGAUCUCGGCUCACUGAAACCUCCGCCUCCCAGGUUCAAGUGAUUCUCCUGCCUCAGUCUCCCGAGUAGCUGGGACUACAGAAACUUGCAAAAAUAGCACAGAGAGAGUGGACUUCUGGAAUGGCACGGCAACAAAAUUCCCUAUGACAGCACCCAAAGGCUUGAAAUUAGCCAUUCCAAGUGUGUCCAAAAAACUAAAGGAAACCAUGAUUAAACAAGUAAAGGUAGAAAUGAUAUGCAUCAAAUAGAGAAGAAUAAAAGGAUCCCAUCAAUAUAGGGAUAGAAGUGUAAGAAAAUAGAAAUUCUAGAGUUAAAAAGUACAAUAACUGAAAUGAAAAAUCCACUAGAGGUGCUCAAGAAUAGAUCUGAACUGGCAGAAGAAUUAGUGAAAUUU